rnacentral:lncRNA from 1 species
CGGAAAGGAGGGGGAGGAGGGGGAGGCAGGAAGGUGGUGAUGGAGGAGAAGAAAGCUCGGGUGGGUUGGUAGCCAGAUGGAGACUCAACUGUUCCGCCGCGGCGAAUCUUCAGUGCGGCGCCAAGCAGGGCAGGUAGCCGCGAGCGCCUGCCUGGCCAAGGAGCUGAGAAAGGAACGCUCAGCCCUAGAACUUUGCUCGCCCACCCGUCAGUAGCUCUGGGUGGCUGUAGCAGGUUUGCUGUCUUUCAACUUUCCACCUAAGCAUAAUGGUCAGAAUGCACUCGAACCCAGAAGAAGAGGACUCAGAAACGGGAGAGAGACAGACAGGGGUAGAGAGGUGGGGGGACAGAAUUCUUUUCAGAUUAAGAAAAAAUUUCAACCUCCCUUUCCACAUCCCUUUCCAGAGGAAACGCCACUAGCCGUGGGAGAUGUUGCUAUAUCAUUGUAGUUGCUGUUAAUUUCUGUUGAAGCUUUUUGUUUAGAACGUCCACUCUCAACAGCACAAGGUAGAUAAUGUGAAAGGCCUUAUUUCUGAGUCAGUAGAUCACAGUUCAGUUCCUGGAGCCUUCAAAUACUGACUAUGAGCCUUAAUCCCAACUUUCACUAAAUGUUCACCAAGCCUCAUUUCCUUAUCAAACCAUGAAGAAACAUGGAGAAAGAUCCUCUGGGCUUUACCGAGAUUGGUGGACACAGAGCUGAGAUGGCGAUGCUGCCCUCCCUGUGACAGCUAAAUCAUCCUUGUGACCCAGAGACCCUCAGAGGUAGACCCACUGGGUUGCAGAGUAUUUGCGUAUGACCAAAUGCUACGUUCUUCUAAUGAGACUAAGAGCUCCCAGGAUCUGACAAACUUGCAGUCCCUUGUGCAUCCGCAGUUUCUUCAUCCGUCAAAUGAGGGACCAGCUUUACUCAAUUGAAAAGUGAUCAGAUAAUAGGAGGAAACUGAUAGUAAUUUGCAAGGUCUCUGCUGUUUCUGAGCUUUUGAUAGAAAAGAAUAUAUUUCCAAGAUCAUAAACAUACAAAUAACGUUAUAUGGACUGAGUGGGAUAUGUGUGUGUAUAUAUAUAUAUGCAUAUGUGUGUAUAUAUAUAUAUAUAUAUAUAUAUAUAUAUAUAUAUAUAUAUGAAUGAUAUAUUUGUAAACAAUUAGAGAAAUAGAGACCAUAAUUAGAUAAGAGGGGGCAGCAUCAAUACAUAGAGAAGAUUAGAGGUAGGAAUCAGGGAAAUUAUGUAAUUAUACUUUAAAAAUGAAGGAGAAUAAAAUGAAAGGAUAUACUCUUUCAUGCUGCAGAGAUGGCACAAUGGUUAAGAACACAUGUUGCUCUCUCGGAGGACUCAAGUUCAGUUCGCAGUGCACAGAUGAUUCCUAGCUCUGUCCUUCUGACUCCACCUCCAGGGUUCUUUGAUACCUCUGGCUGCCUCAGCCACUGGCACCCUCAUGAACAAACCCAAACAGACACAUAAUUAACGGUAAAAUACACCUUAAACCAUGAAUUUUUUUUUAGAGCAGUAGACUAUAUACAUUUAUUAACAUAAGCUACCAAUUAUGUAUUUAUUAAUGUUUUAUUAGCUCUUUAUUAGUUUAAGGACUAUACUAGGUAAGGACUAGCUAUGCAAAGGUUGACAAGAUUUAACCCUCGUUCUUCUACUUAGACCUUGAUAUGUGACAAGCAGUGAACAAGGAGUAGGAUCCUGGGCAGGAAGUUCUCUAAGUGCCACAGAAAGAAAGCAUUGCAAGCGAGGUCAUCAUCAGUAGACACACACCCUAAAGGAGGCCAGAGGAAGAAGAAACCCAACUGUUUGUCUUGAUAGUAGAAUGUGUUUCAAGGCUUUACACAAAAUAUCAAAGUUAAUCCAGUAACCGAGGAUGGAAAAAAUACCAGGCCCUUGGCCAAAAAUGUAAUACUUUAAACAUAAUUUGUGAUAUAAAAUUUGUGCACCAGCAACUGGAUUCAUCUAUCCAAAACCCUUAAUUGUAUCCAUUUCCACAUAAACUCCAGAGUAUAAGAUUUAUGAUGGAAGAAUUUUUGAUUUUUCUGUUUCCCAAUGGUUCUCCGGCAGCAACAUUUGAUAGUAUGUUUCUUAUGUUUUGAGGAUCUUGUUUGAAAAAUGUACUCUGCCACCGGGCAGUAGUGGUGCACGCCUUUAAUCCUAGCACUUGGGAGGCAGAGGCAGGCGGAUUUCUGAGUUCAAGGCCAGCCUGGUCACAGAGUGGGUUCCAGGACAGCCAGAGCUACACAGAGAAACCAGGUCUUGACCCCCCCUCCCCCCAAAAAAAAGAAAGAAAAGAAAGGAAGGAAGGAAGGAAGGAAGGAAGGAAGGAAGGAAGGAAGGAAGAAGGGAAGAAAGAAAGAAACUGUACUCUGUCAUGUUUCUUUUAUGUUGUCUCCUUUUUCUUUCUUCAAGACCUAUAAGAGGAAGCAUCAUUCAAGAGAUAUCCAUAGUUAUUAUUUCUAGUAUUGAUAAAUUCAGUAUCUUUAGCUUAUGUUUAAACACUGGUAGAGAAGUAUUAACGAGUCAACAUGCAUACUCUCCUGUUUUCAUUAAAUAUAUUUGUGGACUAGUAUUUGACACUGUCAUUCUGAGAUAUGGGGAGUCACAGCAAAGUGUCCUAAAUUUCUUCUUGUGCUUGCAUAUUUGUACCCAUACAUGAUUGCCUGGUCACUGAAGUUGCUAACUUCAUGCUUCAACAGAGUCAGAGUGCUUGGCUUAUUCACAUACUAUUUCUUUUUUAUUUCUAUUAGAGUUGUUGAAAUAUAUGCAAUUACAUUUUAGUCUUAUCCGUUUGUUUACCCAGUCACUAUAUUAUUUCCUUAGAAGGCGUAUUAGUGAUUUAAUUUACUGGUAACACAUUUUCAAUAGAAUUAAUUUAAUUUCAUAAAUACCUUAUUAGUCAUCUCAUAUGUUCAAGGAUUGGGAGUGUAUUUGAUAUUCUCCCAGUCUUUCCAGUCCAGAAAAGUAGCUUAUUUUCAUUCCAUUUUGGAGAUAAAUAAACUAAGACUCAGAGAUACUGAACCAUUUGACCUGGUAACAUUAGCACCUAUCACCAGGAGUGCCUAUGUUUUAGGGGAAGAAAAGCUAACACUUUACCUUGUUGAAUACUUAGUGUUUCAAACAUUUAUUUCAGAAUCACGGGUGCUAGUCUCACUCACUGUCCCUCCUUACCCCUGCUAGCACUAGCCACUAGCCACUCUUCACAUUGCUGGAGAUAGAGUCAGAGGCAGGAACUUGUGGAGGCAAACAUUCUGUUUCCAAUGUAAACCACUACAGCUAAUAAUAAAACAACUGUCUGCUUUGAAAUAUAAAAUCUGUUCUUGCUAGAAACUUCAUUCAGAGCUAGUUAAAUCCUCUUCCCUUAAUUGAAUCUUUUUAAAUUACAUGGCAGAAUCCAGAAAAGGUUUGCAAAAGGCAUUAGCAUACCAAGAAAAUAUGUUUAGCCAAGUUUUAAAUAGAGUAUAACAAGCACAGUUUCAUAUGAGAAAAACAGCACCUUCUCAGUGAAACUCUAUCAGCCUGAGUGUUAGGAAUUAUUUUUGACUGAUUCAAGGUAUCACCAUAGAUUUCCUAACUCAUAUAGCCUUGUCAAAAAUGGCAUUAAAUUAAGAGGAAGAAUCAACCAGUACUUCAUUAUGUAAAUGUGUUAAACUCAUCAUUAGAAAACUAUGUUUGUUUAUUUUGCGUUAGUCAUGAUUUGCUCAUUGCUUUAACAGAACCUUUGUAUUCUUACUGCAUGUUAAACAUUGUUCUAUGCACUUGAGGUCAUGAACUAUAUGAAACAAUAAAUUAGAAACUAAAUACUGGGUAGAGAAUGAAAAAGCUGGCAAUUAGAAUCCAUCUAGAAUAACUUUAGGUUCACUAAGGACCAAGGUACAAAAUAUAACAUCCCAGAGAAAAAGUGAGCCAAGCCCAAGAGGUAGAUAGAUAUACUUGAAUAAAUUAAGAGUUUGUCAUAGACUCUCAGAAAACAACAAGCCAUUGAGAGCUAAAUAGUGAAAACUCAUGUAAUUAACAGAAAUACAAUGAAUCUUUCACUUCAUGCCUAUUAUAAAAGAAACUACAAAUAAUAAUGAAUGUUAAGGGAAAACUUUUUGGUAGUAUCUACAAUAAAAUGUGCUAACAGCAGAAUGAAGAUUUACUAAUUCAGAGUUGGAUAUCAGAAAACCGAAGAAGAAGGGAAAAUAUUAAAAGUCAAUUCUCAUUAUUUUUAAUUUACCUCAAACGAAUAAAAAAAAGAAGAGUUUUAAAGGGAGGAAAGCUGAAAUCUGAAUAAUUGUUCUUCAGUUGUAUGAUCUUAUCUGUAUUUUCUCAUAUCAUUAUUGUAUAAAUUAUAAAUAUAAUAUUUUUACUGUGCUUUCUGUGAGGGAUAACAUGAUUCAUAAAGUCUUUCUGAUUUGUGGGUGUCUUGUUUAUGUCUGUUUGGUUCACACAAUGUGGAACAAUCUGAAAUUAUUUUUGAUUAUUAUCUUUAGGUGACGUUGUGAUUAGUGUAAAUUGAAAGGUUCGUUUUGAAUUGGACGUCAUUUUGAAUUAAAAGUUGGCAUCAGGGGUGAUCUUGUAAUAAAGGAAUUCAAUUAAAAACUUUUAACUUCCUUUUGUUAUUAUAUACCCAAACCUCACAUUUUCCUAAACUGAUAUUUAUGUCUCUUUAGACAUCACAGGGGAUAAAGAGGCAUAGUAAAACACAAAUGCAAAAAAAUAAAAAC